rnacentral:rRNA from 1 species
AUUGAACGCUGGCGGCAUGCCUUACACAUGCAAGUCGAACGGUAACAGGUCUUCGGAUGCCGACGAGUGGCGAACGGGUGAGUAAUACAUCGGAACGUGCCUAGUAGUGGGGGAUAACUACUCGAAAGAGUGGCUAAUACCGCAUGAGAUCUACGGAUGAAAGCAGGGGAUCGCAAGACCUUGUGCUACUAGAGCGGCCGAUGGCAGAUUAGGUAGUUGGUGGGAUAAAAGCUUACCAAGCCGACGAUCUGUAGCUGGUCUGAGAGGACGAUCAGCCACACGGGGACUGAGACACGGCCCAGACUCCUACGGGAGGAAGCAGUGGGGAAUUUUGGACAAUGGGAGCAAGCCUGAUCCAGCAAUGCCGCGUGCAGGAUGAAGGCCUUCGGGUUGUAAACUGCUUUUGUACGGAACGAAAAGCCCCGGGUUAAUACCCUGGGGUCAUGACGGUACCGUAAGAAUAAGCACCGGCUAACUACGUGCCAGCCGCCGCAGUAA